rnacentral:rRNA from 1 species
UACAGAGGUCUCAAGCGUUGUUCGGAUUCAUUGGGCGUAAAGGGUGCGUAGGCGGCGCGGUAAGUCGGGUGUGAAAUUUCGAGGCUUAACUUCGAAGCUGCAUUCGAUACUGCCGUGCUUGAGGACUGGAGAGGAGACUGGAAUUUACGGUGUAGCGGUGAAAUGCGUAGAUAUCGUAAGGAAGACCAGUGGCGAAGGCGGGUCUCUGGACAGUUCCUGACGCUGAGGCACGAAGGCCAGGGGAGCAAACGGG